CUUUUCAUUUUAAUCCUCGGCCGAGUGAACACAGAAAUUGAGUAGCGGAAAAAAUCAAAUACCAUCAUUGAGAGAAUGAGCACUGGAAUGUUGAGAGCGGGAUCGUCUCGCCGAUCGAAAACAAAGUCCCCUUACGCGAGACCUGCUCGAUCAACACGAUCCAUGCCGGCCACGGACCAAGCACGUGGCCCCGCACUGGCCACAGACCAACAACGUGCUGCAGACCCCACCCUGCCCACAGAUCAAGCUACGACGUCAAGUGUCCAAAACAUCCCCCAAGUUCCAAGCAGUGUCCCUAAUGCCUGUGGAAUGUAUAGCUCACCGCCUGCGCAGAUGUCAACUAUGCCUGCGUUAGAGCCUCAACACAGUCAACCGCAAGGAACCAGUAUGUCUACUGUAACAUCACCUCUGGUGGCUCAACACGGUUUUACCAACAGUGACAAAAUCUAGAUUCAAUAUGGAUUGUUGGAUCAUCUCUUAUUAAAAGAGCUGAGCAGUAUGCAUCAAUGUCAACAGAGUUUGGUACAGACCUUUCAUUACCUAAUGUAUCAGUGUUAUGGAAAGGAGUAUCAGGGUUAAGUUUUGACAGUGUUGCCGAUAUUAUUUGUGACUUGUGAUCAAAAUAUCCACAUCCAAGGUUUCUGGUCAUCCAUGCAGGUGGAAAUGACAUUGGUAAAGAUGAUAACCCAUUAUCUAGACAACAAAAGUUUAUAAAAAAAGUUAUGGUCAAUUUGAAUACGGAUAUGCCUUCAAUAUGCAUUGUUUGGUCACAUAUAUUACCUAGAUUAUAUUGGCGACAUGCCAUUUCAAACAUGGCAGCAGAGACAUCUAGGCUUAGGAUAAAUAGUUCUGUGGCCACUCUUGUUUUGAAGAUAGGUGGUGCUUCAAUUAAAUAUGUUGACAUUAAACCCAAUCAAAGUAAUCUCUUUCUGAAUGACGGGGUUCAUUUGUCGCCUUCUGGCAAUCAUGAAUUUGUGUCAACCAUGCAGUCAGCUCUAAGGCAAUUUAUUGAGGGUAAAAGUUUAUGUUAUCCAAAGAUAUGAUCAAGAGUUAGUCUGGAACUGUUGUGGCUUUUAUUAUGAAUGUGUUGAAAAAUGAUUUUAAUAUGUACAUGUAUAUACACAUUGUUAGGUCGAUAUAUGUGAAUGUUGCUAUGGAAGCUUUAAAUGGUCAAAAUUAAACCGCUGUGAUGGCGGUUGGAUUUCAUUCUGCAUGAAAUCCAAUUGGCGCAAUUUUGACAUAUAACCAUUUGCUGAGGGAUACUGUUGUCUCCAGGUCCCCCAGCUCUGAUAUGGUUUGUUGAAUGAAUAAUUUGUGAAUGCUAUGCUGCCAAAAGCUUACAAGUGGUAAGAUCGGCGCAUAGAGUAUGAACAUGCAAGUGGCAUGUUAACUGUGAAUGUUGAUAUGAAUAAAAAGCCAUGACAGUUCCGCCAUAUAUGUGUUUGAGUAAUUUUUACUUAUGUCAGAGGUGAUGUUGGAUUAAAUACAAAUUCAAUUGAAGAUCAAUAAAUGCACAAUAUAUAUAUAUAUAUGUAUAAUUGUGCAAGAGUGGUUCAAUAUUUAUGCAUUUCGAAAUAAUCAAAUUUAUCCCUUACAGAUAAAUACAGUUAUUGGGAAUAAAUUAGGUAAUUUAAAUCUAACAAAAUAUCAAAUUUUUCCGGAAUUUUUUGUUCUAUACAUCAUGACUGAUACUUUAUUUAUUCCUGAGCAUGCGCUCUUGGCCUUUUCAUUUUAAUCCUCGGCCGAGUGAACACAGAAAUUCCCUCCCACCCCUCCCCUAGAUAUUAUGGUUGGUUUGAACAUCUAUAUACCUUGUUUUGUACGUUUUGCAUAGCUAUUCAGAUACUUUUUGCUGCUGUGUAUUUUUUUCAAUUCCAGAUAUCGUCAUGGCGUUUAAAAAGUUUGAAAGAAAUCCAUGGUUGUGGUGAUGAGGACAGAUACAUUGAUGAGAGUGUUGGCGCAAUUUUGACAUAUAACCAUUUGCUGAGGGAUACUGUUGUCUCCAGGUCCCCCAGCUCUGAUAUGGUUUGUUGAAUGAAUAAUUUGUGAAUGCUAUGCUGCCAAAAGCUUACAAGUGGUAAGAUCGGCGCAUAGAGUAUGAACAUGCAAGUGGCAUGUUAACUGUGAAUGUUGAUAUGAAUAAAAAGCCAUGACAGUUCCGCC
rnacentral:misc_RNA from 1 species